rnacentral:rRNA from 1 species
CGUGUAGGCGGGAAUAUAAGUCAGAUGUGAAAUACCGAGGCUUAACUUCGGGGCUGCAUCUGAAACUGUGUUUCUUGAGUGUCGGAGAGGAAAGUGGAAUUCCCAGUGUAGCGGUGAAAUGCGUAGAUAUUGGGAGGAACACCAGUGGCGAAGGCGACUUUCUGGACGAUAACUGACGCUGAGGCGCGAAAGCGUGGGGAGCAAACAGGAUUAGAUACCCUGGUAGUCCACGCUGUAAACGAUGGAUACUAGGUGUAGGAGGUAUCGACCCCUUCUGUGCCGGAGUUAACACAAUAAGUAUCCCACCUGGGGAGUACGGCCGCAAGGUUGAA